AAUAAAUAUAAUUUUAUAUUAUUUAUAUCCAAUAUUUAACCAUCCAUUAUAUUUGAAAAAAAUUUAUGAUUAGUAUUUUUAUUGUUGUUAGAUGAUAAAACAUGAAUAGUAUUGUAUGUGUGACUAAUUUUUUUAGUUUUUUCAUAAAUUUUUCAAAUAAGACGAACAUUCAAAUAUUGGACACGAAUAUCCACGCUAUGCGUAUU
rnacentral:pre_miRNA from 1 species